AAAUAUAAAGUGGUAUGAGUAAAUAAAUAAAAGGUAAGACGUUUUAAAAUUAUCAGACAUAUUAUUUUAAUUAUAUCAUCAAUCUUCUUGUAUGAAUAUGUGAAUCAGUUUCUAUGCAUGUCACUAUGAUAGUAAACAUUUUUCAUAUCAACGUGUUGGUGUAUCUGAAGCCUUGGCAAGCCUAAGACCCAGGUUUUGAGUUUAUUCUUAAAUGAAUUAUCACUCCUGAUAUUUUUUAUAUGAUGUGGGACGAGAUUAUAUAACCGAGGAGCUAGGUAUGAGUAAGACCUUUGAAGGAUGUUUUUCCUUGAAUUCGGGACAUAUGCAUUAUUUUUUUGUCGAGUUUCAUAUUGGUGUUCUAUUAUCCUUAAUUCAUGUCUAUUAUUAUGUUGUCUUAUUAUAGUUUAGAGAAAGUAGAGUUGUCUUAUGUCUAGAAUUGAUGUUUCUUUAUAUAAUGAGUCGGUCGGGUGUUUCAGAAAAGUUGUGUUUGCUGCUCCCCAAGCAAUUAUUCCGUAUGUAAGGUGGGUUUCGAACAAUGCAUAGUAUAGCAUUCGCAUCUGGGCUGUUUGUAGGUAUGGUCUCACGUAUUUUAAUCUAUAUGC